GUGGCGAACGGGUGAGUAACACGUGGGUGAUCUGCCCUGCACUAUGGGAUAAGCCUGGGAAACUGGGUCUAAUACCGAAUAUGACCAUGCGCCUCCUGGUGUGUGGUGGAAAGCUUUUGCGGUGUGGGAUGGGCCCGCGGCCUAUCAGCUUGUUGGUGGGGUAAUGGCCUACCAAGGCGACGACGGGUAGCCGGCCUGAGAGGGUGACCGGCCACACUGGGACUGAGAUACGGCCCAGACUCCUACGGGAGGCAGCAGUGGGGAAUAUUGCACAAUGGGCGCAAGCCUGACGGAGCGACGCCGCGUGAGGGAUGACGGCCUUCGGGUUGUAAACCUCUUUCAGCACAGACGAAGCGCAAGUGACGGUAUGUGCAGAAGAAGGACCGGCCAACUACGUGCCAGCAGCCGCGGUAAUACGUAGGGUCCGAGCGUUGUCCGGAAUUACUGGGCGUAAAGAGCUCGUAGGUGGUUUGUCGCGUUGUUCGUGAAAACUCACAGCUUAACUGUGGGCGUGCGGGCGAUACGGGCAGACUUGAGUACUGCAGGGGAGACUGGAAUUCCUGGUGUAGCGGUGGAAUGCGCAGAUAUCAGGAGGAACACCGGUGGCGAAGGCGGGUCUCUGGGCAGUAACUGACGCUGAGGAGCGAAAGCGUGGGGAGCGAACAGGAUUAGAUACCCUGGUAGUCCACGCCGUAAACGGUGGGUACUAGGUGUGGGUUUCCUUCCUUGGGAUCCGUGCCGUAGCUAACGCAUUAAGUACCCCGCCUGGGGAGUACGGCCGCAAGGCUAAAACUCAAGAAAUUUGACGGGGGCCCGCCACAAGCGGCGGAGCAUGUGGAUUAAUUUCGAUGCAACGCGAGAACCUUACCCUGGGUUUGACA
rnacentral:rRNA from 1 species